UACGUAGGGUGCAAGCGUUGUCCGGAAUUAUUGGGCGUAAAGAGCUCGUAGGCGGUUUGGCGCGUCUGCUGUGAAAUCUGGAGGCUCAACCUCCAGCCUGCAGUGGGUACGGGCAGACUAGAGUGCGGUAGGGGAGAUUGGAACUCCUGGUGUAGCGGUGGAAUGCGCAGAUAUCAGGAAGAACACCGAUGGCGAAGGCAGAUCUCUGGGCCGUAACUGACGCUGAGGAGCGAAAGCAUGGGGAGCGAACAGG
rnacentral:rRNA from 1 species